UGAAUAUACACCACCGAUGGAAUGUGCAC
rnacentral:sRNA from 1 species